AACGAACGCUGGCGGCAGGCUUAACACAUGCAUGUCGAACGAUGUAGCAAUACGUAGUGGCGAACGGGUGAGUAACGCGUGGGAAUAUACCUUGUAGUGGGGAAUAACGUUGGGAAAAUAACGCUAAUACCGCAUACGCCCGAGAGGGGAAAGAUUCGUCGCUAUAAGAUUAGCCCGCGUGAGAUUAGGUAGUUGGUGGGGUAAUGGCCUACCAAACCUACGAUAUCUAGCUGGUCUGAGAGGAUGAUCAGCCAAAGUGGGACUGAGACACGGUCCAGACAUCUACGGGAGGCAGCAGUGGGGAAUGUUGGGCAAUCGAAGAAACUCUGACUCAGCCCUGCCGCGUUAAUGAUGAAGGCCUUAGGGUUGUAAGGUUCUUUCGCCAAUGAAGAUAAUGACGGUAGUCGGGGAAGAAGCCCCGGCUAACUUCGUGCCAGCAGCCGCAGUAA
rnacentral:rRNA from 1 species